UACAGAGGGUGCGAGCGUUAAUCGGAAUUACUGGGCGUAAAGCGCACGUAGGCGGCUUGGUAUGUCGGGUGUGAAAUCCCCGGGCUCAACCUGGGAACUGCAUCCGAAACUGCCUUGCUCGAGUAUGGGAGAGGGAAGUGGAAUUUCCGGUGUAGCGGUGAAAUGCGUAGAUAUCGGAAGGAACAUCAGUGGCGAAGGCGACUUCCUGGACCAAUCCUGACGCUCAGGUGCGAAAGCGUGGGGAGCAAACAGG
rnacentral:rRNA from 1 species